rnacentral:rRNA from 1 species
AUUGAACGCUGGCGGCAGGCUUAACACAUGCAAGUCGAGCGGAGAGAGGUAGCUUGCUACUGAUCUUAGCGGCGGACGGGUGAGUAAUGCUUAGGAAUCUGCCUAUUAGUGGGGGACAACAUUUCGAAAGGAAUGCUAAUACCGCAUACAUCCUACGGGAGAAAGCAGGGGAUCUUCGGACCUUGCGCUAAUAGAUGAGCCUAAGUCGGAUUAGCUAGUUGGUGGGGUAAAGGCCUACCAAGGCGACGAUCUGUAGCGGGUCUGAGAGGAUGAUCCGCCCCACGGGGACUGAAGCACGGCCCAGGCUCCUACGGGAGGGAGCAGUGGGGAAUAUUGGACAAUGGGCGGAAGCCUGAUCCAGCCAUGCCGCGUGUGUGAAGAAGGCCUUAUGGUUGUAAAGCACUUUAAGCGAGGAGGAGGCUACUUUAGUUAAUACCUAGAGAUAGUGGACGUUACUCGCAGAAUAAGCACCGGCUAACUCUGUGCCAGCCGCCGCCGUAAGAC